UACAUGUAUAUUCAAUCCUUUUAUAGACAUUUUCAACAAUUCACAUUAUCAAUCAGUGAAACAGAUGCCCAUGACAGCAACACACUGGAGGAGAUGUUUAUGGUGGUACAGUGUUGCAGGGACACAGGGACACCUUGUUCCUUCUGUGCUGGAAGGCGUGGAGCACUUAAGACACAGCUUGCCUCAAGGAUCAGCCUUCCUACACACGCUGUAACUAGAUGCCUGAAGUAUAGAUGUCAAGUAAUUUGUAUCUAUUGGUUCUGACCCGAUACUACGAUGUACAACAACAAGUGUGGGAGAAAUGGCUUCCUUCAACACAAUACCAAACUGACAGCUUCCUUGACUGUAUGAUAUACCACACACAGUUCAAACAAGAUGUGAGGUAGAUGAGCCAAGCAGGCCGCCUACAGUGGUAGCUAUGUCUGUAAUGAAGACUGACCUUGCCAUAUUGCUGUCUCCCCACCCCAAGGGGAUGCAGGCCUGUGAUGUGCUGUCUUCCCACCAACUACCAAUAUUACAUACUUCUUGCUCUGGGUUAGAUCAUGGAUUUCAUUACUGAACUAACAUAUUGGAUAAGUCUUUCAUGUUGGACAUUGAUAAAAAGCCUAUUCCUUGGUGGUUGUACCAUACCUUUCCUUUGCAGUAUUUCUGUUAAAAAAAUAUCAAUGCUGUACAUUUAAUCAAGUUUCAAAACACACUACCUUUCAUUGAUUAAAACCUUGCUGUUUGUUAAUAUCCAGCUUUGAUGAUAAUCCUUUGAUGAGUUGCCAGCAAAGUCAGUGGAAUUAAAUUCUCUGUGAAAUCACUUAUUAAAGCUACCAUAUCCAUUAAAAGUCAUU